GGGUCUUUCUUCAGGGAUGACAUCAUGGUUCACCUCCUCGUCUUCAAGGACCACCUUCUCCAUGCCAAGCUGCUGCCAAGGUGCCUGCUGCUCAUCUCCACCUUACGAGGGCACUAGGAGCGCAGAUUCCUGGACCCCACCAGCAGACAAAGCAGCCCCCCGCAGACCCCCAGGACCAAGACGACGAAGGAUGAAGAGGAUCAGAACUGACCCAUCAGCUGUUUAUCUUGGCUAAAGACUUAAACCAAUGCCCUAGUGAGGGGGCAUUGGUCAUUAACCCCUGACCUUUGCUAUGCUUGUGCCUUGACUCUAUGAAUACUGUCCUGUACUUCUCGGCUUGUGUUCACCUGCUAGCGAACUGGAGUGUUUCCCUCCCCAGGGGGUGUCAGUCUUUCUUGACUGGACUGAUUCUGUUGCUGCCCUUAUGAUGCCCUGAAUGGAAGGAUCCUUUUGGGAAAUUCUCAGGAGGGGGACCUGGGCCAAGGGCUCAACCAGCUUCUCACUGGCACUUCGAAGGCCCUGGGUGGGCUUCUGGAAUGAGCAUGUUUCUGAAUCUCUAAAAGCAUGCCCCACCUCUUUUGAAACCUCCCUGUCCUUUUCCGGGGAAUGGGGACAGUAGGAGCAGCCUCCUAGGGUUGUUGUGAGAAUUAAAUGAGCUAAAGCAGCCUCCGGCAGGGCCGGGCAUAGACAAGGCGGUCAGCAAAUGUUUGUUGAAAAGGUUCGGCAGGUCCGUCCAUUCCCACCCCUCUUGCUUGUUUUACUCAUCUUAUUUAUUCUCCAACAGCACUGAAGACAGCCCCUGUCCACGGGGCUCUCCUCGCACCAGGUAGGGGCUUCACAAAAGUGACCGGCAGUCUGACCUGACCAAGCCUCUUGAAAUGCCUGUCUACACUGUCUUCCUCCCUCACCUCCAAUUUCCUCUUCAACCCACUGCUUCCUGACUCGCUCUGCUCCGUCGAACGGCUCUCACUAAGGUCCCUUGCUGAUGACUCGCUGUUGGUUUUGGGAGCCACCACCUGGGCCUGUUGCUUCUCUUCCCGCACCUUUUCCUGUCCUCGCGCAUCUCACGUGAACCACCCACUCCACCCAAAAGCAAGCCGCAGGCUGGCUGUGAUCAGCUGAAGAACUGCGGAUGGAAGCAGUGGAAGACCCCGAUGAGGCCCACCGCCCUGGACCACCCCUCCUCCUAACACUCCUCUUGCCUCCUGCCUGGUUUGGGGGGUCUGGGGGCCGGGAAGCUGCCUGGAGCGGAGACCCUUGGCACACCUGGCUGACGCGUGUGGGGGUCCACCCUGGUCGACUGCAGGCUGCAAGCCAGGGACGCUGAAGCCUCACUCAGAAUUCUACAUGGGACAGGACCUUGGACAUGGGACCCUAGCAUCCCCAGCUCUAAAUCCCUCCACAGCCACGGGGACGCCCUGCAUACAUUCCCACGGGACAGGCUGGACCCAAAGACUCUGGACCCGGGGCCUCCCUUUGAGUAGAGACCACCCUGUGACUGAUGGACUUCGCGGGCCUGGGGGUCAGACACGUGGGCUUGACCCCUGCCCACCCCCCAUGAACCCCAAGACUUGGGGGAGCUGUUGAGCCUUCAUUGUCCACAUCUGUGAAAUGGGCGCAGACACCUACCUCACAGGGCUGUUGUGAGGAGCGUUGUGACGUGAUUCAAAAACAGAGGGCUUGGCACACCCCAUUGUGCUCUCAAUAAAUGUGUUUCUUGUCUUAACAAAA